CUUCUUUUUAUACCAAAUGACACUGUGAGACACUGUUGUGGUGCUGUGAAAGUAUUUCUUUUUUCUUAGGAGAAUUUUCUAGGAUCAUACUAAAAGUAUAUGAAAUCCUGGAUGCAUGGGUACUCAUACUAUGGCUCAUUGCUCUUUAAAAAGAAAAGAAGAAGAAAGAAUCACUUGUGAACUUAGGAAGAGAGAACAAAGUGACAGCCAUAGCAGAAAUAACAUUUAUAUUGUGAGAAUAUACAUUCAAGAAGGUAUAUCUCCCUAUUUAUAUUAAAGGAAAACAGAAGAUUAUCUAAAACAGUGUAAAAGUCAUGAAUGUAUUUUGAAGUUUCUUCUUAACUUCUCAUCAGGUACAGAAAACUGUUGUUACCCUGUUGUACAAAAAGGAGGAAGCAUGUUCUAUGAGCCUUCAAAUUUUUAGUAAGUAAAAAAUUUGAAAUCUGGUAAGAAGAAAAAGUAAGUUGCAUUUUAUAUACACUAACAUUAGCCAUCUAAUAGAGAUAUCUAAUUUUAUUGUUAUUGAAAUAUUUGGAGAAUUAAAGUACAACAGAGCUCAUAAGAGUAUUCAUGCACAGAAGUUUUGAUAUUAAUACUUUCUUUACUACAUUACAAUAGAUACUUCAUCACUCCCUUAAAAUUCUCAAAUAAAAGUAGGAAAGGCAUUUAAUAACAGUUCAUACUUAAUAUAUGUAUGCAUACUUGUAUACAUAUGUGUGCCUUUGUAGGUGUGUAUUAAGAGUGGAAGAAGGAUUUCUGGAAAAUAGUAGCUUAG
rnacentral:lncRNA from 1 species